rfam:Myotis lucifugus cont2.30732, whole genome shotgun sequence.
CUGUCUCUCGCUUCAGCCAUGUUUGGACGGAGCAG